rnacentral:rRNA from 1 species
UGGGGAAUCUUGCACAAUGGAGGAAACUCUGAUGCAGCGACGCCGCGUGAGCGAAGAAGCCUUUCGGGGUGUAAAGCUCUUACGCCAGGGACGAUAAUGACGGUACCUGGAGAAGCAGCUGCGGCUAACUACGUGCCAGCAGCCGCGGUAAUACGUAGGCAGCAAGCGUUGUUCGGAAUUACUGGGCGUAAAGGGUGCGUAGGCGGCGCUCUAAGUUCGGUGUGAAAUCUCCCGGCUUAACUGGGAGGGUGCGCCGAAGACUGGGAAGCUGGAGUGUGGGAAAGGCAGGCGGAAUUCCUGGUGUAGCGGUGAAAUGCGUAGAUAUCAGGAGGAACACCCGCGCUGUAGACGGCUUGCUAGACCAUAACUGACGCUGAGGCACGAAAGCGUGGGUA